UAAAUAAGCUUACAACCCUUUUCCCUUUCCUUCCUCAUCAAAGUGACUAGCACCUACUCUCUCUCCCUCUCUCUUCAACCUUUAUGCAUGUGUGUGUUUUCUUCCGCAGGGGUUUGAUUCUUAUGGCAUACACAUAUAUGUUCCUCAAAUAUUGGCCUGUAUUGUUGCAGAGUAGUAAGGUAGAAUCUGUUAAGCUCAGGAGGGAUAGCGCCACAUAUAACACAAUUCAUUCGUAUUGGCGCUAUCUAUCCUGAGUUUCACGGCUUCUUCUUACUUUAAGAUAUCAUUCUCUUAUGAUAUACAUGUUCUAGCUAGUACUUAGAAAUUAAAAUGAACCACCCCAUUUUAAUUUACUUCCCUUUCUCUUUUUUUCUGUUUUCAUUUAUUAUACUUUACUAUGAUUAUUCUGUCUGAAACAGGGAUCAAGAUCUUGAUGAUGAUGAUGAUGACGAUGACGAUGAUGAUGGGUUAUUAGUUUUACUCAAUUCAAUAACUUCAUCCAUCUGGCUCCUAGUUUAUGAAUUAUAUUAUAAAUUAUGAUUUUUGGUUUGAUUUGCCUCAGAUAAGCAAGGAAUGGCCAAAGAACGGUUUGUACUACUGUUUAAAGGAACACACUCGCAGACAAUAUUAUAUUCUGAUGAGUAGAUUUACUAUCAAGUUUAGAGAUAUAUUGAAGAUUCUAGCUCAUGGUAUCUAAGAAUCAGCGUUCUAUAUAGGUUCCAUCUUUUUCUUUUCUCCCAGUUUUUUUUUUCCUUCCAAUGCUUUUUCGGGUAAGAAAGUUUUCCUUUUAUAUAUCUUCUUCCUUG